rnacentral:rRNA from 1 species
GACGAACGCUGGCGGCGUGCUUAACACAUGCAAGUCGAACGGAAAGGCCCUGCUUUUGUGGGGUGCUCGAGUGGCGAACGGGUGAGUAACACGUGAGUAACCUGCCCUUGACUUUGGGAAAACUUCAGGAAACUGGGGCUAAUACCGGAUAGGAGCUCCUGCUGCAUGGUGGGGGUUGGAAAGUUUCGGCGGUUGGGGAUGGACUCGCGGCUUCUCAGCUUGUUGGUGGGGUAGUGGCUUACCAAGGCUUUGACGGGUAGCCGGCCUGAGAGGGUGCGCGGACACUGUGGGACUGAGAUACGGCCCAGACUCAUACGGGAGGGAGCAGGGGGAUAUAUUGCAAAAUGGGCGGAAGCCUGAUGCAGCAACGCCGCGUGCGGGAUGACGGCCUUCGGGUUGUAAACCGCUUUCGCCGGUGACGAAGCGUGAGUGACGGUAAUGGGUAAAGAAGCACCGGCUAACUACGUG